rnacentral:rRNA from 1 species
GGGUCAGUAGGUUGGUCGUGCCACCGGUACGUACUGGUCUCACUGAUUCCUCCUUCCUGAAGAGCCGUAAUGCCAUCAAUUUGGUGUUGCGGGGAAACAGGACUGUUACUUUGAAAAAAUUAGAGUGUUUAAAGCAGGCUAACGCUUGAAUACAUUAGCAUGGAAUAAUGAAAUAGGACGAUCGAUCCUAUUUUGUUGGUUUCUAGGAUUGACGUG